rnacentral:rRNA from 1 species
UACGUAGGCAGCGAGCGUUGUUCGGAAUUACUGGGCGUAAAGAGUGUGUAGGCGGUGCUCUAAGUUCGGUGUGAAAUCUCCUGGCUUAACUGGGAGGGUGCGCCGGAAACUGGAGUGCUCGAGCGUGGGAGAGGAAAGCGGAAUUCCUGGUGUAGCGGUGAAAUGCGCAGAUAUCAGGAGGAACACCGGUGGCGAAGGCGGUGAUCUGGGCCGACACUGACGCUGUAGAGCGAAAGCGUGGGGAGCGAACAGG